AGAAAAGUAAACUAAUAAAAGUUAGUAGGUUCAUACCCUAAAUAUAGAAAUUAUAAUUCUCUUUUCUA
rnacentral:tRNA from 2 species